CACACAUGAAACGGGAGGGAGACUCCUGAAUAGAGUCUUCCCUCCCCUGUUUCAACUCCUCCCCGAAUCCAUCGGAAGGAAAGAAAAAAAAAUAAACAGAGGAAAAGGGAGAUCAAAUCUUACCUAAUUUGCAUCAAUCUCUAUCUAUAAAAGAAUCUAUUCCUCUCCUCCUAGAGCAUCAAGCGAGAGCUCUUUCAAAAAAAAAAAAGAAAAAGAAAAUCUGUGAGAAGCUUGGGUUGUUUGCCGUCGGGCACGCCGGAGGAGCUCGCCGAAGGUGAGGAGAACAAUCUAUUAAACGAAAGGACGUUGAGCGGAGUUCUGCGCAUCCCAGUUCCUAGAUCGCCGUGAGGGCGGGUGAUUAGUCUGUCUUAGUUUUUCAACAAAGGAUAAGAAUUCUUAGUUGCAGGAUGCAUAGAUUUGGAUGGGAUGGACGCAG